CCUACGGGUGGCUGCAGUGGGGAAUAUUGGACAAUGGGCGAAAGCCUGAUCCAGCCAUGCCGCGUGUGUGAAGAUGGCCUUCGGGUUGUAAAGCACUUUCAGUGGGGAAGAAAGCCUUGGGGCUAAUACCCUCGAGGAAGGACAUCACCCACAGAAGAAGCACCGGCUAACUCCGUGCCAGCAGCCGCGGUAAUACGGAGGGUGCGAGCGUUAAUCGGAAUUACUGGGCGUAAAGCGCGCGUAGGCGGUCUGAUAAGCCGGUUGUGAAAGCCCCGGGCUCAACCUGGGAACGGCAUCCGGAACUGUCAGGCUAGAGUGCAGGAGAGGAAGGUAGAAUUCCCGGUGUAGCGGUGAAAUGCGUAGAGAUCGGGAGGAAUACCAGUGGCGAAGGCGGCCUUCUGGACUGACACUGACGCUGAGGUGCGAAAGCGUGGGUAGCAAACAGGAUUAGAUACCCUAGUAGUC
rnacentral:rRNA from 1 species